rnacentral:lncRNA from 1 species
CGAUAAUCUUUUCAUGAUGAUCAACAUAUUGGUGGCCCCUUCCUUUCGAUUUUGAAAUGGAAAUUAUUAUGAAAGAAAUUGAUUUCCAAGUUCAUUGCUCUCAGAGCAGUGUAGAUGAUGCCCAAGUUCCAUUAGAAUGAGGCUAUUUAAUACAUGAAACUCACAGAGAAGGGCAUUAAGUUUCAAAAGAGCCACUUUGUCCUCAGUUUUCAUUCUUGUUUGGUACUCUCGCUCCUGGCGCUAUCUCAGAGUCUAUAUUGGAUGGGAACUCAUGUCUUGGAUGACGCAUUUUUAUUGGUUUGUUGUUUUUUGGACAUCUUUAUUGAGUACAAAAGGGAGCCUGGGAAAUGCCAAUAAAGGGAAAUUUGUUAGUUGUCUUCUUUCUUUUAAAACACAUUUUUAAUGUCUUUUAAUCUCUUCCAUCUUUCUUUCCUUUCCUCCUUCACUUCUUCCUUCUAAUUCCACAUAUCACAGACAUUCUUACAGGAUGCAAAAACCUGAUGAUAGUAUUGGUAAUGACCUGGCCAACUGACAGCAGGCAACAAUGUUCUU